CCUCGAUCCCAGGCCGAGUUUUCGCUUUUAUAACGGUUAGGCGAACAACUGGGCCUGGUACUAGUUGUCUGCGCAUGCGUCAGUCGUUCGUCAGAUUCUGACGAAUGGAUAUUCUCGUUCACUUUUGUGACAUUUAUAUUCGUGUACUAUCGUGUACUAGAAGUCAGUUCCCGUUUUAUCAUUAUUUGGAAUGGCUCUUAGCUGAAGCUUCUCUCUUCUCUGAAGCUUAUUCUGAAGACUGAACAACAAGGAAAGAGGUAUAAAGCUUUGUCAAGCUUGUUAAGGAUCUAGGAGCAAUGGCUAAUAUCCAGCUAUCCCAACAGUGCUCCUCUUGGCUAUAGUAACGGACGAGACUGGACAGUUUGAGGACUGGAGUAUGACCUGCUCAUUCGAGCGUUGCUGGGUAGCUCAGAGACAUCAAGAGAAUCUACGUUUUCUCAAGCAAAAUUUAACUGAGUUACGAGUUGGGGCCUAGAAUCACAGAAGUCCAGCAGCCUGCUAAAUCUUUUUGAAACGUAAUUUGAAGGCAUUCAAUCAUCCUGAAGUUGCCCUGGGUCACUGUAAUUGUGCUGCAGCACAACUGGCAACUCCCUAGGCCUUUGUGAAGCAGCUCCCUAUGUGCAUCUUUUGUGUACUCACUCUGUGCAUUUUCUGUGUACAAAUUU